rnacentral:misc_RNA from 1 species
GAUGAAGAACGUAGCGAAAUGCGAUAAGUAAUGUGAAUUGCAGAAUUCAGUGAAUCAUCGAAUCUUUGAACGCACAUUGCGCCCGCCGGUAUUCUGGCGGGCAUGCCUGUUCGAGCGUCAUUUCAACCCUCAAGACCCCUUCGGGGGACUUGGUGUUGGGGACCGGCACAGGGGCCUGCCUGCUUGUCUUGCAGCGCCCUCGCCGCCCCCGAAAUGAAUUGGCGGCCUCGUCGCGGCCUCCCCUGCGUAGUAGCACAAACCUCGCAACGGGAACGUGACGGCGGCCACUGCCGUAAAACAACCCAAUUUUAUUAGAGUUGACCUCGAAUCAGGUAGGAAUACCCGCUGAACUUAAGCAUAUCAAUAAGCGGAGGA